AAUAAGUACAGUUUUGCACUAUUCAUGUUCAACGUUUGACCGUCCGUCUUAUUUGAAAAUAUUUUAUGAUUAAUAUUUUUAUUGCUAUUAGAUGAUAAAACAUGAAUAGUACUUUAUAUGUGACUAAAUGUUUUUAAUUUUUUCACAAAUUUUUCAAAUAAGACGGACGGUCAAACGUUGAACGUGAAUAGUGCAAAACUGCACUUAUU
rnacentral:pre_miRNA from 1 species